UACAGAGGGGGCAAGCGUUGUUCGGAAUUACUGGGCGUAAAGGGCGCGUAGGCGGCCUGUUAAGUCGAACGUGAAAUCCCCGGGCUCAACCCGGGAACUGCGUCCGAUACUGGCAGGCUUGAAUUCGGGAGAGGGAUGCGGAAUUCCAGGUGUAGCGGUGAAAUGCGUAGAUAUCUGGAGGAACACCGGUGGCGAAGGCGGCAUCCUGGACCAACACUGACGCUGAGUGAGCGAAAGCCAGGGGAGCAAACGGG
rnacentral:rRNA from 1 species